rnacentral:rRNA from 1 species
UGCUUAACACAUGCAAGUCGAACGGUGAACACGGAGCUUGCUCUGUGGGAUCAGUGGCGAACGGGUGAGUAACACGUGAGCAACCUGCCCCUGACUCUGGGAUAAGCGCUGGAAACGGCGUCUAAUACUGGAUACGAGUAGCGACCGCAUGGUCAGUUACUGGAAAGAUUUAUUGGUUGGGGAUGGGCUCGCGGCCUAUCAGCUUGUUGGUGAGGUAAUGGCUCACCAAGGCGUCGACGGGUAGCCGGCCUGAGAGGGUGACCGGCCACACUGGGACUGAGACACGGCCCAGACUCCUACGGGAGGCAGCAGUGGGGAAUAUUGCACAAUGGGCGCAAGCCUGAUGCAGCAACGCCGCGUGAGGGAUGACGGCCUUCGGGUUGUAAACCUCUUUUAGCAGGGAAGAAGCGAAAGUGACGGUACCUGCAGAAAAAGCGCCGGCUAACUACGUGCCAGCAGCCGCGGUAAUACGUAGGGCGCAAGCGUUAUCCGGAAUUAUUGGGCGUAAAGAGCUCGUAGGCGGUUUGUCGCGUCUGCUGUGAAAUCCGGAGGCUCAACCUCCGGCCUGCAGUGGGUACGGGCAGACUA